GCAUAUCAAUAAGCGGAGGAAAAGAAACUAACAAGGAUUCCCCUAGUAGCGGCGAGCGAAGCGGGAAAAGCUCAAAUUUGUAAUCUGGCGUCUACGACGUCCGAGUUGUAAUCUCGAGAAGUGUUUUCCGUGAUAGACCGCAUACAAGUCUCUUGGAACAGAGCGUCAUAGUGGUGAGAACCCAGUACACGAUGCGGAUGCCUAUUACUUUGUGAUACACUUUCGAAGAGUCGAGUUGUUUGGGAAUGCAGCUCAAAUUGGGUGGUAAAUUCCAUCUAAAGCUAAAUAUUGGCGAGAGACCGAUAGCGAACAAGUACCGUGAGGGAAAGAUGAAAAGCACUUUGGAAAGAGAGUUAACAGUACGUGAAAUUGUUGGAAGGGAAACACAUGCAGCCAGACUUGCUAUUCGGGGCAACUCGAUUGGCAGGCCCGCAUCAGUUUUUCGGGGCGGAAAAGCAUAGAGAGAAGGUAGCAAUUUCGGUUGUGUUAUAGCUCUUUAUUGGAUUCGCCCUGGGGGACUGAGGAACGCAGCGUGCUUUUAGCAUAAGCUUCGGCUUAUCUACGCUUAGGAUGCGGGUGUAAUGGCUGUAUAUGACCCGUCUUGAAACACGGACC
rnacentral:rRNA from 1 species